UACGUAGGGUGCGAGCGUUGUCCGGAAUUAUUGGGCGUAAAGGGCUCGUAGGCGGUUUGUCGCGUCGGAAGUGAAAACACGGGGCUUAACUCUGUGCUUGCUUUCGAUACGGGCAGACUAGAGUUCGGUAGGGGAGACUGGAAUUCCUGGUGUAGCGGUGAAAUGCGCAGAUAUCAGGAGGAACACCGGUGGCGAAGGCGGGUCUCUGGGCAGUAACUGACGCUGAGGAGCGAAAGCGUGGGGAGCGAACAGG
rnacentral:rRNA from 1 species